rnacentral:rRNA from 1 species
UGAACGCUGGCGGCGUGCCUAACACAUGCAAGUCGAGCGUGAACCCUUAGAAUGAAACUUCGGUCGAAUGAAGAGGGGGAAAGCGGCGGACGGGUGAGUAACGCGUAGGCAACCUGCCCCGUACAGAGGGAUAGCCUCGGGAAACCGGGAUUAAAACCUCAUAAUACCAUGGUAUCACAUGAUGCAAUGGUCAAAGAUUUAUCGGUAUGGGAUGGGCCUGCGUCUGAUUAGCUGGUUGGUGGGGUAACGGCCUACCAAGGCAACGAUCAGUAGCCGACCUGAGAGGGUAAUCGGCCACAUUGGAACUGGAGACACGGUCCAAACUCCUACGGGAGGCAGCAGUGGGGAAUAUUGCACAAUGGGCGAAAAAGCCUGAUGCAGCAACGCCGCGUGAGCGAAGAAGGCCUUUGGGUCGUAAAGCUCUGUCGGGAAGGAAGAUAAUGACGGUACUUCCCGAGGAAGCCCCGGCUAACUACGUGCCAGCCGCCGC